rnacentral:rRNA from 1 species
CUACCAUGCAGUCGAGCGGUAGCACAGAGAGCUUGCUCUCGGGUGACGAGUGGCGGACGGGUGAGUAAUGUCUGGGAAACUGCCUGAUGGAGGGGGAUAACUACUGGAAACGGUAGCUAAUACCGCAUAACGUCGCAAGACCAAAGAGGGGGACCUUCGGGCCUCUUGCCAUCAGAUGUGCCCAGAUGGGAUUAGCUAGUAGGUGGGGUAACGGCUCACCUAGGCGACGAUCCCUAGCUGGUCUGAGAGGAUGACCAGCCACACUGGAACUGAGACACGGUCCAGACUCCUACGGGAGGCAGCAGUGGGGAAUAUUGCACAAUGGGCGCAAGCCUGAUGCAGCCAUGCCGCGUGUAUGAAGAAGGCCUUCGGGUUGUAAAGUACUUUCAGCGGGGAGGAAGGCGAUAAGGUUAAUAACCUUGUCGAUUGACGUUACCCGCAGAAGAAGCACCGGCUAACUCCGUGCCAGCAGCCGCGGUAAUACGGAGGGUGCAAGCGUUAAUCGGAAUUACUGGGCGUAAAGCGCACGCAGGCGGUCUGUCAAGUCGGAUGUGAAAUCCCCGGGCUCAACCUGGGAACUGCAUUCGAAACUGGCAGGCUAGAGUCUUGUAGAGGGGGGUAGAAUUCCAGGUGUAGCGGUGAAAUGCGUAGAGAUCUGGAGGAAUACCGGUGGCGAAGGCGGCCCCCUGGACAAGACUGACGCUCAGGUGCGAAAGCGUGGGGAGCAACAGGAUUAGAUACCCUGGUAGUCCACGCCGUAAACGAUGUCGACUUGGAAGUUGUGCCCUUGAGGCGUGCUUCCGGAGCUAACGCGUAAGUCGACCGCCUGGGGAGUACGGCCGCAGGGUAAAACUCAAAUGAAUUGACGGGGCCCGCACAAGCGG